AGUGAACGCUGGCGGUAGGCCUAACACAUGCAAGUCGAACGGCAGCACAGUAAGAGCUUGCUCGUACGGGUGGCGAGUGGCGGACGGGUGAGGAAUACAUCGGAAUCUACUUUUUCGUGGGGGAUAACGUAGGGAAACUUACGCUAAUACCGCAUACGACCUACGGGUGAAAGCAGGGGAUCUUCGGACCUUGCGCGAUUGAAUGAGCCGAUGUCGGAUUAGCUAGUUGGCGGGGUAAAGGCCCACCAAGGCGACGAUCCGUAGCUGGUCUGAGAGGAUGAUCAGCCACACUGGAACUGAGACACGGUCCAGACUCCUACGGGAGGCAGCAGUGGGGAAUAUUGGGCAAUGGGCGCAAGCCUGAUCCAGCCAUACCGCGUGGGUGAAGAAGGCCUUCGGGUUGUAAAGCCCUUUUGUUGGGAAAGAAAAGCAGCAGGUUAAUACCCCGCUGUUCUGACGGUACCCAAAGAAUAAGCACCGGCUAACUUCGUG
rnacentral:rRNA from 1 species